GGUCUUAUAUUCUAUAUUAAUAUAAGAAAUAAAAUUGCAAAUUUUAAAAAAUAAGUUUAAUUAUUAAGACUU
rnacentral:tRNA from 1 species